UUGCGGGCUAGCCCGGGUAACCCGGCGUCACCUAUCACCCGAAACCGCCGAUAUGCGGGGGGCGAAGCCAAUGGAAGACAUACCAAACGCUAUUUAAGAUCGGAUGCCCAACAAUGAAUCUCCGUCCUGCGGGGAUGGCGUUGGUAGUGGAGUCUGCCGGAGGGCAGGUUUGCUAUCUCUGCUGCGGAAAACGGUUUAGGCCCGGAAGGGAGCGGACAUCACCGCAGACGCUUCAUCGCUUGUAGGAUCGCGGAGAGGAGGCGGAUCUCCGAACCACUGGAUGGUGGGCGGGUGGCAACCAUUGGCGCGCUCGCAU
rnacentral:SRP_RNA from 1 species